AUAUAGGUCAAGCUACAAAGGGCGCAUGGUGAAUGCCUUGGCAUCAGGAGCCGAUGAAGGACGUGAUAAGCUGCGAUAAGCUUCGGGUAGGCGCACAUAGCCUGAGAUCCGAAGAUCUCCGAAUGAGGAAACUCACAUGGGAAACCCCAUGUAUCAUUAAGUGAAUACAUAGCUUAAUGAAGGUAACCCAGGGAACUGAAACAUCUAAGUACCUGGAGGAAGAGAAAGAAAAAUCGAUUUUCUUAGUAGCGGCGAGCGAAAGGGAAAGAGCCCAAACCGGAAACUUGUUUCCGGGGUUGAGGACAUAACAUAAAGAGAAGUAAUGGCUAAUUGAAGAGAACUGGAAAGUUCCACCGUAGAAGGUAAUAGUCCUGUAAAUGAAAGCUAGUAUAAUCGAGUUAUGAUCCAGAGUACCACGAGACACGUGAAACCUUGUGGGAAGCAGGGAGGACCACCUCCCAAGGCUAAAUACUACCUGAUGACCGAUAGUGAAGCAGUACCGUGAGGGAAAGGUGAAAAGAACCCCGGGAGGGGAGUGAAAUAGAACCUGAAACCGUGUGCCUACAACCGCUCAGAGCCCCUUAUGAGGGUGAUGAGGUGCUUUUUGUAGAACGAGCCAACGAGUUACGGUAUGUAGCAAGGUUAAGUACUUAAGGUACGGAGCCGAAGGGAAACCGAGUCUGAAUAGGGCGACUAGUUGCAUGCCGUAGACCCGAAACCGGGUGACCUAUCCAUGGCCAGGUUGAAGCGAGGGUAAAACCUCGUGGAGGACCGAACCACGUUGCUGUUGAAAAAGCAUGGGAUGAGCUGUGGAUAGCGGAGAAAUUCCAAUCGAACCCGGAGAUAGCUGGUUCUCUCCGAAAUAGCUUUAGGGCUAGCGUCGAGUAUGAGUAGUGGAGGUAGAGCACUGAAUGGGCUAGGGGGCAUAGCGCUUACCGAACCUUAUCAAACUCCGAAUGCCACAUACUUUGAGCUCGGCAGUCAGACUACGAAUGAUAAGAUCCGUGGUCAAAAGGGAAACAGCCCAGAUCGUCAGCUAAGGUCCCAAAGUGUAAGUUAAGUGGGAAAGGAUGUGAGAUUUCUAAGACAACUAGGAUGUUGGCUUAGAAGCAGCCAUUCAUUAAAAGAGUGCGUAAUAGCUCACUAGUCGAGAGAUCUUGCGCCGAAAAUGUAACGGGGCUAAACUUACCACCGAAGCUACGGGCUUGAACUUAGUUCAAGCGGUAGGAGAGCGUCGUAACCGGGCUGAAGUCGUACCGUAAGGAGCGGUGGACUGGUUACGAGUGAGAAUGUUGGCAUCAGUAGCGAGAUGUGGGUGAGAAUCCCACAGGCCGAAAACCUAAGGUUUCCUCAGGAAGGUUCGUCCGCUGAGGGUUAGUCGGGACCUAAGCCGAGGCCGAAAGGCGUAGGUGAUGGACAACUGGUUGAUAUUCCAGUACCACUACCAUCGUUAUUAUCGAUGGCGUGACGCAGGAGGAUAGUGUGUGCUAGCUAUUGGAUGCUAGUCUAAGCGUUUAGGCAGUGAGAGUAGGCAAAUCCGCUCUCAUAAUGCUGAGGCGUGAUGGGGAAGGUUCCACGGAACCGAAGUACAUGAUUCCACGCUGCCAAGAAAAGCGUCUAGAGAGAGAAGUAGUGCCCGUACCGCAAACCGACACAGGUAGGUGAGGAGAGAAUCCUAAGGCCGGCGGAAGAAUUACAGUUAAGGAACUCGGCAAAUUGACCCCGUAAGUUCGCGAGAAGGGGUGCCUACGAGAGUAGGCCGCAGAGAAUAGGCCCAAGCAACUGUUUAGCAAAAACACAGGUCUCUGCUAAAGCGUAAGCUGAUGUAUAGGGGCUGACGCCUGCCCGGUGCUGGAAGGUUAAGGGGAACACUUAGCGCAAGCGAAGGUGUGAACUUAAGCCCCAGUAAACGGCGGCCGUAACUAUAACGGUCCUAAGGUAGCGAAAUUCCUUGUCAGGUAAGUUCUGACCCGCACGAAUGGCGUAAUGACUUGGGCACUGUCUCAACUGUAAAUCCGGCGAAGUUGUAGUGCGAGUGAAGAUGCUCGCUACCCGCGAUUGGACGGAAAGACCCCGUAGAGCUUUACUGUAGCUUAGCAUUGAGUUUUGGUAUUGUCUGUACAGGAUAGGUGGGAGACUAGGAAACCAGGGCGUCAGCCUUGGUGGAGUCAACCUUGGGAUACCACCCUGACAGUACUGAAAUUCUAACUGGCGGCCAUGAAUCUGGUCACAGGACAUUGUUAGGUGGGCAGUUUGACUGGGGCGGUCGCCUCCUAAAAAGUAACGGAGGCGCCCAAAGGUUCCCUCAGAACGGUCGGAAAUCGUUCGAAGAGUGCAAAGGCAGAAGGGAGCCUGACUGCGACACCCACAAGUGGAGCAGGGACGAAAGUCGGGCUUAGUGAUCCGGUGGUACCUCGUGGGAGGGCCAUCGCUCAACGGAUAAAAGCUACCUCGGGGAUAACAGGCUGAUCUCCCCCAAGAGUCCACAUCGACGGGGAGGUUUGGCACCUCGAUGUCGGCUCGUCGCAUCCUGGGGCUGAAGUAGGUCCCAAGGGUUGGGCUGUUCGCCCAUUAAAGCGGCACGCGAGCUGGGUUCAGAACGUCGUGAGACAGUUCGGUCCCUAUCCGUCGCGGGCGUAGGAAAUUUGAGAGGAGCUGUCCUUAGUACGAGAGGACCGGGAUGGACUGACCUCUGGUGUACCAGUUGUUCCGCCAGGAGCACAGCUGGGUAGCUAAGUCGGGAAUGGAUAAACGCUGAAAGCAUCUAAGCGUGAAGCCAACCUCAAGAUGAGAUUUCCCAUAGCGUAAGCUAGUAAGAUCCCUUGAAGAACACAAGGUUGAUAGGUCGGGGGUGUAAGCAUGGUAACAUG
rnacentral:rRNA from 1 species